rnacentral:rRNA from 1 species
UACAGAGGGGGCAAGCGUUGUUCGGAAUUACUGGGCGUAAAGGGCGCGUAGGCGGCCUUCUAAGUCGAACGUGAAAUCCCCGGGCUUAACCUGGGAACUGCAUUGGUGACUGGCGGGCUAGAGUAUGGCAGAGGGGGGUAGAAUUCCACGUGUAGCAGUGAAAUGACGUAGAGAUGUGGAGGAAUACCGAUGGCGAAGGCAGCCCCCUGGGCCAAUACUGACGCUCAUGCACGAA